GCUUGUUUGAACCCCACACUUCAUGUGGAAAUCACAGAGGGGAGAGAGAGAUUACAGCCUGCCACUGUGUUUGAAGGAUCCAAGGGGCAAGACAAAUGGACAGAUGGAAAGAAUUACAGUUCAUCAGAGCAUGAAGAAGAAAAUCCCUCGGAUGGUAGAAACUGAGCCGUAUGCUGAUGUACAUUGACGUACUGUCCAAGUUUGGUUCAGAGAAGAGUCUUCAGCUAGCAGCCAAGAGGCCGAGAUAGGAGCCAAGUGAACACCAAACAUUCAUGGCAAAUGACAAGCAGACCUUAAAAUUUGGAUGGAAAUAUUAAGGACCUAGAAUACAUUAAUCUUGAAGAAGAACAAUUCUGGAGCUCUUGACUUCAAGAUUCAAUAUAAAGAUAAAAUAAAACCAAAUAAGGAUAACCAAAUAAAUAAAUGGCAAAACAGAACAUGGAGCCCAGAAAUAGACUCAGAUGUUGAUUUUCUACAAUGGCAUCCAGCAAUUCAAUAGAUAAGGGCAAAUAUUUUUUAAUAAAUAGUGCUAGAAAAAGUGACUAUGUAUAUAAUGUAUUAUACAUAUUGGGGGAUGGGAAUCUAGACUCUUACUUAUUCCACACACCAAAUUAUUGUAAUACCUUUGCAACCUUGGAUUAAGCAAAGUAUUUAGGCCAGACACAGAAAAAAAAUAAUAAAAGAAAAAAGCAAUGAGACAGCACAAAAUUAAAUACUUCUGUUGAUUAAAAAAAUACUUUUAGAAAAAUAAACAAGCAAACCACAAACUGGGAGAAACAUGGAAACCGUCUUGGCAGUUAGUUAAAAAGGCAUGUAUAGGAAGUUCAAGAAGAGGCAAAACAAAUAUAAUGUGAAAAAAAUCAUUGUUGACCUUUCAAAGACAAUAGAGGUAGUUCACUGGGAAGAGACAUGAAAGAACUUGUGGAGGUAAGAGUUCCAUAUCUUGAUAUGGAUAUAAAUGCAACUCUCUAUGCAUAGCCUUGGUAUAAUCGCCAAGUAAUAUCUAAUAACCCCACCUGAGGCAACUCCUACAAAAUCACUGGCUAAUCAUCUUCAAAAAUGUCAAGAUCAAGAAAGACAAAUAAAGACAGUAUGUUCCAGAUUUAAGGGCCUAGAGAAAAAGGGCAACUACAUACAAUGAAUGCAUCAUCUUGGAUUGGUUUUUGGAGCAGGGUAAAAUCACUAUAAAAGACAUUAUUGAAGCAAUUAAUAAAAUUUGAGUAUGGACUGAAAUAAUGUAAUAUGAAAGAUUUUGAUAAUGCACUGUGGUUAUUUCAAAGAAUUUCUAAGGGAAUA